CCCAGACUCCUACGGGAGGCAGCAGUAGGGAAUCUUUCACAAUGGGCGAAAGCCUGAUGGAGCAACGCCGCGUGCAGGAUGAAGGCCUUCGGGUUGUAAACUGCUUUUAUAAGCGAGAAAUAUGAUGGUAACUUAUGAAUAAGGAUCGGCUAACUACGUGCCAGCAGCCGCGGUAAUACGGAGGAUGCGAGCGUUAUCCGGAUUUAUUGGGUUUAAAGGGGGCGCAGGCGGCACGGCAAGCCGGCGGUCAAAUCGCGGGGCUAAACCUCGCUCCGCCGUUGAAACUGGCGUUCUUGAGUGGGCGAGAAGUAUGCGGAAUGCGUGGUGUAGCGGUGAAAUGCAUAGAUAUCACGCAGAACUCCGAUUGCGAAGGCAGCAUACCGGCGCCCAACUGACGCUGAAGCACGAAAGCGUGGGUAUCGAACAGGAUUAGAUCCCCCCGUA
rnacentral:rRNA from 1 species